ACUCUUUCCCCAGACGACCCUGUUCCGGUCCUGGUUAUUUUUGGCCCUGUGGUGGGUAAUGACUGUGCUAUUUUAACUUAGCAAUUUUACAGAUGACCCUGCUGUCAGAGUUGGCUGGGGAUGGACCAUAUGCCCA